AUUGAACGCUGGCGGCAGGCCUAACACAUGCAAGUCGAACGAGUGGCGGACGGGUGAGUAAUGUCUGGGAAAAUGUCCGUUGGAGGGGGAUCACUACUGGAAACGGUAUCUAAUACCGCAUACCAUGGGAUGUGCCCAGAUGGGAUUAGCUAGUAGGUGGGGUAACGGCUCACCUAGGCGACGAUCCCUAGCUGGUCUGAGAGGAUGACCAGCCACACUGGAACUGAGACACGGCCCAGACUCCUACGGGAGGCAGCAGUGGGGAAUAUUGCACAAUGGGCGCAAGCCUGACGGAGCCAUGCCGCGUGUAUGAAGAAGGUCGUCGGGUUGUAAAGUACUGUCAGCGAGGAGGCGUUACUCGAAGAAGAAGCACCGGCUAACUCCGUGCCAGCAGCCGCGGUAAUAC
rnacentral:rRNA from 1 species